rnacentral:rRNA from 1 species
CAUGCUAGACGAGUUUGAUCAUGGCUUAGAACGAACGCUGGCGGCAGGCCUAACACAUGCAAGUCGAACGAUAUAGUGGCAGACGGGUGAGUAACGCGUGGGAACGUACCUUUCGCUACGGAAUAGCUCUGGGAAACUGGUGGUAAUACCGUAUACGCCCUUAGGGGGAAAGAUUUAUCGGCGAAAGAUCGGCCCGCGUUAGAUUAGGUAGUUGGUGGGGUAAUGGCCUACCAAGCCUACGAUCUAUAGCUGGUCUGAGAGGAUGAUCAGCCACACUGGGACUGAGACACGGCCCAGACUCCUACGGGAGGCAGCAGUGGGGAAUCUUGCACAAUGGGCGAAAGCCUGAUGCAGCCAUGCCGCGUGAAUGAUGAAGGCCUUAGGGUUGUAAAAUUCUUUCGCUAGGGAUGAUAAUGACAGUACCCAGUAAAGAAGACCCGGCUAACUUCGUG